rnacentral:lncRNA from 1 species
UGUUGAACCUCCUUUGAUAAUUGUCCUUGAGUCCUUUUGAACCUCUUGAUCCUUUCUUCAAGAAUGUCUUGAAGUUUGUAUGUUACCACAAGAAUAAAUCCAUAAGGUUUAACAAUAUGUGAAUUGUUACACAAUAAUAACAAUAUGACUUGAUCAAAUUUGGUAUAUGGCUUUCCACACUAUUUGCAAGACAACAAUGGAGUAAUUUUGGCUCUUGAUUCAAUGCGAGGAAGAAGAGUCUUGUCUUGCACUAAUGUGGGAACAAUAACCCCCACUUUAUAACUCUAUGAGUUACAUAACCCAAGAGUCACAAGAGUUACAUAACUCAAGAGUCACAAGCAUGUAAUCAUGGUUACAUAUAUGUAACCUUAGUUAGCCCAUCAUUAACUAAGGUUACCCUUUUGGGUAUCUACACAUUAGUCCUACACUUUAUAUGACAAUAUAUUGGCCUUGUAACCUUAUGUCCAUAGGCCAAACCAAAAGAUAGCACAUAACAUAUUAUUU